CAACGUGCCAGCAGCGGCCCACACAAGGCUACAUGCAAAGGAAAGACGGUCAUACAUACACUCGGGACAGGGAGGACCUCGACCUUAGAGCUCACCUUGGGCGGCGAUCCGUUCUCCUCGGUUUGAGGGGGAGGCAGGGGAGCUGUGUUGCUAUUGGUUGUGGGCGGU